rnacentral:rRNA from 1 species
ACGAACUGUGCGAAAGUUAUUAGGAAUCACUGGGCUUACAGGGUAGUAGGCGGCUCUCAAGUAGGGAAGAAACCCCCCUCAUCAACCGGGGAACGCCGCCCUAAACUGACGAGCUAGACUGAGAUAGGGGUGUGCGGAACUUCCGGUGGAGCGGUGAAAUGUGAUGAUAUGGGAAGGAACGCCGGUGGCGAAAGCGGCACAGUGGAUCUUGUAUGACGAUGAGGCAAGAAAACCAGGGCAGCGAACGGGAUUAGAUACCCCGGUAGUAGUGGCAUAAACGAUGAGCAGUAAAUAGGAGGGGCGUAUGCCCUUCCUAACGGAGCUAAAGUGU